rnacentral:rRNA from 4 species
UACGAAGGGGGCUAGCGUUGCUCGGAAUCACUGGGCGUAAAGGGCGCGUAGGCGGCCGAUUAAGUCGGGGGUGAAAGCCUGUGGCUCAACCACAGAAUUGCCUUCGAUACUGGUUGGCUUGAGACCGGAAGAGGACAGCGGAACUGCGAGUGUAGAGGUGAAAUUCGUAGAUAUUCGCAAGAACACCAGUGGCGAAGGCGGCUGUCUGGUCCGGUUCUGACGCUGAGGCGCGAAAGCGUGGGGAGCAAACAGG